ACAGACAGGAGACAGACAGGAGAUAGACAGGAGACAGACACAGGAAAGGCAGGAGGCAGACACGAGACAGACAGGAGGCAGACAGGAGACAGACAGGGGACAGACAGGAGACAGACAGGAGAUAGACAGGAGACAGUCAGGAGACAGACCGGAGACAGACAGGAGACAGACAGGAGACAGACAGGAGACAGACAGGAGACAGACAGGGGACAGACAGGAGAUAGACAGGAGGCAGACAGAGGAAAGGCAGGAGGCAGACAGGAGACAGACAGGAGACAGACAG
ensembl:lncRNA